rnacentral:lncRNA from 11 species
UUUCGGCCUAGGACAAAACAACAAAACUACACAUCCCAGAAACACUAAUCUUGGCAGCACAACCCCUCAUGCCUCUAGGUUGAUACAACAAAAAGAAAAGAAAAAUAAAGUCCUAAUUAGAGGGAGAGGAAUAAUUGUGUUUUAUCCAAUUGCUGCCAGUUAGAAGGCUAAGCUCCGCCCACUUGGUCUCCUAGCAACCCACUCACCCAGGGGACAGGCAGAGUUAGGCCUCACUUAGGCCUCUUCCACACUGCCUAUAAAAUACAGAUUAUCAGAUUUUAACUGGAUUAGAUGGCAGUGUAGACUCAAGGCCCUUCCACACAGCUAUAUAACCCAUUUAUAAUCUUAUAUUAUCUGCUUUAACUGGAUUAUCUGGACUCCACACCUUUACCCUUUACCUUAACUACCACCAAUUCCUCAAUACUUUAUUUCCCAUACCACCAUACUUCGCCACAGCAACACGUGGCCGGGCACAG